rnacentral:rRNA from 1 species
AACGAACGCUGGCGGCAUGCCUAGCACAUGCAAGUCGAACGAGACCUUCGGGUCUAGUGGCGCACGGGUGCGUAACGCGUGGGAAUCUGCCCUUGGGUUCGGAAUAACAGUUAGAAAUGACAGCUAAUACCGGAUGAUGACUUCGGUCCAAAGAUUUAUCGCCCAGGGAUGAGCCCGCGUAGGAUUAGCUUGUUGGUGAGGUAAAAGCUCACCAAGGCGACGAUCCUUAGCUGGUCUGAGAGGAUGAUCAGCCACACUGGGACUGAGACACGGCCCAGACUCCUACGGGAGGCAGCAGUGGGGAAUAUUGGACAAUGGGCGAAAGCCUGAUCCAGCAAUGCCGCGUGAGUGAUGAAGGCCUUAGGGUUGUAAAGCUCUUUUACCCGGGAUGAUAAUGACAGUACCGGGAGAAUAAGCCCCGGCUAACUCCGUGCCAGCAGCCGCAGUAACAC